rnacentral:rRNA from 1 species
UACGUAGGGUGCAAGCGUUGUCCGGAAUUAUUGGGCGUAAAGAGCUCGUAGGCGGUUUGUUGCGUCGGCUGUGAAAUCCCGAGGCUCAACCUCGGGUCUGCAGUCGAUACGAGCAAACUAGAGUGCUGCAGGGGAGACUGGAAUUCCUGGUGUAGCGGUGAAAUGCGCAGAUAUCAGGAGGAACACCGGUGGCGAAGGCGGGUCUCUGGGCAACAACUGACGCUCAGACACGACAGCAUGGGGGAGCGAACGGGG